UACGUAGGGUGCAAGCGUUGCUCGGAAUCACUGGGCGUAAAGCGCACGUAGGCGGAUCUUUAAGUCAGGGGUGAAAUCCUGGAGCUCAACUCCAGAACUGCCUUUGAUACUGAGGAUCUUGAGUCCGGGAGAGGUGAGUGGAACUCCGAGUGUAGAGGUGAAAUUCGUAGAUAUUCGGAAGAACACCAGUGGCGAAGGCGGCUCACUGGCCCGGUACUGACGCUCAUGCACGAAAGCGUGGGGAGCAAACAGG
rnacentral:rRNA from 1 species